UACGUAGGGCGCAAGCGUUGUCCGGAAUUAUUGGGCGUAAAGAGCUCGUAGGCGGUUUGUCGCGUCUGCUGUGAAAACCUAAGGCUCAACCUUGGGCUUGCAGUGGGUACGGGCAGACUAGAGUGCGGUAGGGGUGACUGGAAUUCCUGGUGUAGCGGUGGAAUGCGCAGAUAUCAGGAGGAACACCAAUAGCGAAGGCAGCUCGCUGGGACGUUACUGACGCUGAGGAGCGAAAGCGUGGGGAGCGAACAGG
rnacentral:rRNA from 1 species